ACACCUCAACUCUCAUGGUCCGCCAUGAUGAGCUUGGACUUUGGGGGUCUUGCCGGCCUAGUGUCGGCUCCUCUCAAAUGGAUCAGCUUGCCAGUGUUUGGUGGCAUCACAGGUGUGAUAACUAUCUACGCUUGUGGUUUUCUGCCAUAUAACCUUCAGUGAUGGAGGUUCUCUGGAGCUCACAGAUGUCUCUCCUUGGGGAGGACAGCUUUUGAAC
rnacentral:misc_RNA from 1 species